rnacentral:rRNA from 1 species
AGCCUGAACGCUGGCGGCGUGGCUAAGACAUGCAAGUCGCACGGGGUAGCAAUAUCCAGUGGCGAACGGGUGAGUAAAGUAUCGCUAACGUACCCUUCAGUUGGGGAUAGCCGGGGGAAACUCCGGGUAAUACCCAUUGACAUCACGGUUCCGCAUGGGAUUGUGCUCAAAGGAGUAAUCCGCU